AAAAUUUUAAAUGCGGAAGCAAAAUAAAAAUUCUGAUAAACAUCCCUUACACAAUAACGAAAAACGUAUUCAACGUAUGAAAGAAUAAGCUAAUUAAAAGAAAUACUCGAAAUAAAAACUACAAAUAGAACUAUAAAAUCUUUAGGCGUCUAACUCGCCGUUUUCCUGCGGAACAGGCUCGGGAACCAUGUCUUCCUAAUCUGAAAUGGUUAAGUAAGGAAUGAGCUACACUAGCCCAGUAAAGAUAUCACACUAUCUCACUGCCACAGAAGUA
rnacentral:lncRNA from 1 species